UGUAAACAUCCUUGACUGGAAGCUGUACAGUGCUCAGGAGGGCUUUCAGUCGGAUGUUUACAGC
rnacentral:pre_miRNA from 1 species